GGGCACGUGGCGGAAUUGGCAUACGCGUACGCCUCAGAAGCGUAUCCCUUACGGGUUGGGAGUUCAAAUCUCCCCGUGCCCACAA
rnacentral:tRNA from 1 species